AUGACCAUCGCCGAGACCCGUCGUCGUCGACGCGUCAGAUGCCACACCACUCCACCUUCGCGAACACCACCUGCUACCGCUGGUCCCAUCCCCUUCGCCUACAAGUCCUCCAAUCGAGCACCCGAACGUCCCAGGCAGCGUCUCCAAGAAGGACACAACACAUGUUGUGCCGCCGCCACCCAAUCCAAGGGGAUUUUGUGUCUUCACCCGGGCAUGGGGCGUGGUGGAGGGGAGGACGUCGACGACGCCCGCAAGAAAGAAAGGGGCGGCCGCGGUCCAGAGUUUCCUCCGGUCCGACGCCACCUCUACAAACUCCCGCCAACGCAUCGGGGCUGA
rnacentral:rRNA from 1 species